CCGGCGCACGGGUGAGUAACACGUAUCCAACCUGCCGUCUACUCUUGGCCAGCCUUCUGAAAGGAAGAUUAAUCCAGGAUGGCAUCAUGAGUUCACAUGUCCGCAUGAUUAAAGGUAUUUUCCGGUAGACGAUGGGGACGCGUUCCAUUAGAUAGUAGGCGGGGUAACGGCCCACCUAGUCAACGAUGGAUAGGGGUUCUGAGAGGAAGGUCCCCCACAUUGGAACUGAGACACGGUCCAA
rnacentral:rRNA from 1 species